AGUCGUAACAAGGUAGCCGUACUGGAAAGUGUGGCUGGAUCACCUCCUUUCUAAGAGAAAGAAAAUUUAAAUUAAAUAAUGUUAUUUUAACUCUUCCCUUGUUUUCUUAGGGGCUUUUUUGGGGGUUUAGCUCAGUUGGUUUAGAGCAUCGGCUUUGCAAGCCGGGGGUCAAGGGUUCGAAUCCCUUAACCUCCAUUUGUUAGUUUAAAUGAGGGUUAGGUCUUCUUCUUUAACAGGAUAAUCAGUUGCCAGGGUUUGUAGUUGAUAAGAUUUUAUAAAAAUUAGAGAUAUCUAUCUUUGAUAGAUCUUUUUUUUUAUGUUUUGUAUUUGGAUUUACCAAUUAACAAACAGCAGCACUCUUCUUAUAAUUAUUUUCUACAGGUUUAAAGCUUUAACUGAUAAACUUAUAUUGUAUUCAACAUUCAAAUUAUAAAAACCUUAAUCAUAACGAGGCCUAGCUUAGAGACUUAACUUAAUUGGGAUCAGGAGGAGUUGAACAUCCGACCUCAGGA
rnacentral:misc_RNA from 1 species